rnacentral:rRNA from 1 species
UACGAAGGGUGCAAGCGUUAUUCGGAAUCAUUGGGCGUAAAGCGCGCGUAGGCGGAUGUUUAAGUGUCUUGUGAAAUCCCACGGCUCAACCGUGGAACUGCUGGGCAUACUGGACAUCUCGAGGCACUCAGGGGCGAGCGGAACAAGUGGUGGAGCGGUGAAAUGCGUAGAUAUCACUUGGAACGCCAAUGGUGAAGACAGCUCGCUGGGGGUGUCCUGACACUGAGGCACGAAGGCCAGGGGAGCAAACGGG